UACGUAGGUGGCAAGCGUUAUCCGGAAUUAUUGGGCGUAAAGAGCUUGUAGGCGGUUUGUCGCGUCUGCUGUGAAAAUCCGGGGCUCAACCCCGGACUUGCAGUGGGUACGGGCAGACUAGAGUGUGGUAGGGGAGACUGGAAUUCCUGGUGUAGCGGUGAAAUGCGCAGAUAUCAGGAGGAACACCGAUGGCGAAGGCAGGUCUCUGGGCCACUACUGACGCUGAGAAGCGAAAGCGUGGGGAGCGAACAGGAUUAGAUACCCCGGUAGU
rnacentral:rRNA from 1 species